GAUGAACGCUGACCGAAUGCUUAACACAUGCAAGUCAACUUGAACUUCGGUUUGGGUGGCGGACGGGUGAGUAACGCGUAAAGAACUUGCCUCACAGUUAGGGACAACAUUUGGAAACGAAUGCUAAUACCUGAUAUUAUGAUUUUAGGGCAUCCUAGAAUUAUGAAAGCUAUAUGCGCUGUGAGAGAGCUUUGCGUCCCAUUAGCUAGUUGGAGAGGUAACGGCUCACCAAGGCGAUGAUGGGUAGCCGGCCUGAGAGGGUGAACGGCCACAAGGGGACUGAGACACGGCCCUUACUCCUACGGGAGGCAGCAGUGGGGAAUAUUGGACAAUGGACCAAGAGUCUGAUCCAGCAAUUCUGUGUGCACGAUGAAGUUUUUCGGAAUGUAAAGUGCUUUCAGUUGGGAAGAAAAAAAUGACGAUACCAACAGAAGAAGUGACGGCUAAAUACGUG
rnacentral:rRNA from 1 species